AAGGAUCAUUAACGAGUUUGAAAUCGACGGCUUGAUGCUGGCGUGUAUAACGCGCAUGUGCUCAGCCCGUCGUACUCAAUCCUCUUUACCCCUGUGCACACCUAAUGGGAGUUUAGUAGUCGGUGUGUGUUGUUGUAUUAGUUCGGUUUAUUGAUCGAAUAUAAUGCGCACCGUCGACGAAACGCUUCAAUUUUUAUUAUCAACGAUUACUUGUAAUGUGGAAUGUAAUGCUCCUUUGUGAGCGAUAUAAAGUUACAACUUUCAACAACGGAUCUCUUGGCUCUCGCAUCGAUGAAGAACGCAGCGAAAUGCGAUAAGUAAUGUGAAUUGCAGAAUUCAGUGAAUCAUCGAAUCUUUGAACGCACCUUGCGCCCCUUGGUAUUCCGAGGGGCAUGCCUGUUUGAGUGUCAUGUUAAUCUCAACCCCCUUGUUAUUAUAUUUUACUAACUUGGGACGUUGGACUUGGAGGUAUUAUAUAUGCUGGCUCCGCUUUGGUUGUGGUCGGCUCCUCUUAAAUGUAUUAGCUGGGCUUUGGCUCGCGUUAACGGUGUAAUAGUAACAUUUACAUUCAUCGGACGCUUGCCUAACAGGUCUGCUUCUAACUGUCCGAUAACAAAGGACAAGGUCACAUUAACAAUGACCUUCAUGACUUACUUGACCUCAAAUCAGGUAGGAUUACCCGCUGAACUUAA
rnacentral:rRNA from 3 species